rnacentral:rRNA from 1 species
GGGUUGUGAGGUUAAGCGACUAAGCGUACACGGUGGAUGCCCUGGCAGUCAGAGGCGAUGAAGGACGUGCUAAUCUGCGAUAAGCGCCGGUAAGGUGAUAUGAACCGUUAUAACCGGCGAUGUCCGAAUGGGGAAACCCAGUGUGACUCGUCACACUAUCAUUAACUGAAUCCAUAGGUUAAUGAGGCGAACCGGGGGAACUGAAACAUCUAAGUACCCCGAGGAAAAGAAAUCAACCGAGAUUCCCCCAGUAGCGGCGAGCGAACGGGGAGGAGCCCAGAGCCUGAAUCAGCAUGUGUGUUAGUGGAAGCGUCUGGAAAGACGCGCGAUACAGGGUGACAGCCCCGUACACAAAAGCGCAUGUGCUGUGAGCUCGAUGAGUAGGGCGGGACACGUGGUAUCCUGUCUGAAUAUGGGGGGACCAUCCUCCAAGGCUAAAUACUCCUGACUGACCGAUAGUGAACCAGUACCGUGAGGGAAAGGCGAAAAGAACCCCGGCGAGGGGAGUGAAAAAGAACCUGAAACCGUGUACGUACAAGCAGUGGGAGCCCCACCACCAAAGCAUUCUCUGGUGUUGAAGGCCCUGCAAAGCAGCAUCGCGGUGGCGGAGCGUCGUUUGCGACGCCCAACACACAAAACAAGCGGUGAGUGCUUUG